AAAUAGUCCUUCCUCUCUGAAUGAGAGGAAUUGGUCCUGGCAGACUACAUGUACAGUGUUCUCAAGUGCUGGCAGUUCAAGAAGCCCUUCUGUGAUUUCUUGGGAAUUGUUUCAAAGCAGUUAAAAUAGGAAAACAUCGAGCACAAUUUUACAGAGCUGCAUCAGAAUAAUUCCAGCAGCCAAGACUGCAAAUCCUUGUAAUGAAACCUGGAUUGAGACUAACAGUCCAGCUUCAAUAGGUGCAGUGCCUUGUGCAGAACUCCAUCAUUGCAAAUUCUUACAAUUCUUCUAAGUCAAAAUCCCAAAUCAAGCAGUACUUUUUUAAGCAUUCCUUUGUACUACAAGGCAAUUGAUCAUGGGGAGAACCUCGGUGUGUGAUUUUCAGGUAAAGUGAAUCCUUGCAUAGGUUGUGAUGCACCAUUUCUCUGAUGUACUGGACUCGGGAACAGAAGAAGAAACAGAAAAGCAGAAUAUUGGACAAAUGUACAUUUAACCCUGCGUACUCUGAAGUCAUCCCUGCAGUAGAGGUCAAAGAUUUCUUCCUGGCAGAACUGUUCCACAAUGAAAUCCAUAUUCCUCUUUGCUGAUGCUACUGAAGUCUUUUGAAUCCCUUUUGUAUCAGUAGGAUUUCCAACCUUAACCCAUUGCUGCAAGGGUCCUGGACUUGAAUGUACAUCCACUGAAUGUUGCUGUGCUCCCCCAUUGGCAGGACAAACAUGAUCUUAAAAAUUAAGGAGAUGCCUGCUAGGGAAAUUUUUCUAUAUAGGGACAU